UACGUAGGGUCCAAGCGUUAUCCGGAAUCACUGGGCGUAAAGCGUGCGUAGGUGGUCUGUUAAGUGAGAUGUGAAAGCGUGUGGCUCAACCAUAUCGUUGUGUUUCAUACUGGCAGACUAGAGGACAGCAGAGGCAAGUGGAAUUACGAGUGUAGCGGUAAUAUGCGUAGAUAUUCGUAGGAACACCAAUGGUGAAGGCAGCUUGCUGGGCUACUCCUGACACUGAGGUACGAAAGCGUGAGGAGCGAACAGG
rnacentral:rRNA from 1 species